GGAUGUGAUCAUACCAACUCACAUGAGCUGAAUCCCAUCAGAACUCCGAAGGUAAGCGAGUUUGGGUGAGAUUAGUACUAGGAUGGGUGACCUCCCGGGAAGUCCUUGUGUUGCAUCCC